CCCAUAGUUUAGUGGAUAGAAUGUUUAACUUCGGAUCAAAAUCUCGUGGGUUCAAAUCCUUUUGGG
rfam:Picea glauca, whole genome shotgun sequence.